UUAACCACGUGCAGUACGUCGUGGUCACAGAUUUCAAUCAUAAUCCAAUCUAAUCGUGAAGUUCCUUUCUGGCUCAUAUGAGAAGUGUACAUUUUUUUUCAAUCAUCUUGUUUCUCAAAGCUACAAGAAGAAGUGGUAUUCAUCAUGAAACUUUUUCCGAUAGAAUUAUUUAAAAUUUCCCUUAAGUUUUGCCAAGUGAACAUCAUUCUGUAAAUGAAACCAAAUCAACUUCUGCGACAGCGCUUGGUUAGAAUUAUGGGACAGUUGCUUACUUCCUAACUGUUUGCGCCUACAGAAGCAACAAUUCAAUCCUCUUAUGCAGCUGAGUUUUGAUACAGAGUAUACAAAAUGGAUGUCAUUUCUGAGCACAAGGAGAAAUGUAUUAGUUUGGCUACUUUAAUUGGACAGCACUCGGACAUUUUAAGACUCUCUGUUAAAUAUUUUGAAGACAAGCCGCCUCCUUGGGUUGAUGCCGAUGGUGAGAGGGAUGAAUCUGCAGCAAAGAAAAGGAGAACCUCCGGAGAAAUGGAAAAAGAAUUGAAGCUUGUAGAAUCCGUUUGA
rnacentral:lncRNA from 1 species